CCCAGGCACACACAACAACAUGGCAAAAAAUUAUAAUUUUAAAGAAAUAUUUACAAUUUCCCAACAUAAUAAUUAUAUAUUUAUUGGCAUUUCUUUACAUUUCUUAAUUACUUUCAUUUUUUUCCAUGAUAUAUUUCUUUUCAUGCAUUUCUUUACAUUUCUUAUAUAUUAUUUAAUUUCUUUUCGUUCUUUACAUUUCAUUUCUUAUAUUACUGUCAUUUUUUUCAUAAUUAUAUAUUAUUUAAUUUGUUUUCAUUUCUUUACAUUUCUUUACAUUUCUUAAAUGACUUUCCUUUUUUUCAUAAUUAUAUAUUACAUUUCCUGACAUUUCUUAUAUUACUUUCAUUUUUUUUUAGAGUAUAUAUUACCUACAUUUCUUUUCAUUUUUUUAUUACUUUCACUAUUUCUCGGUCUUAGGCCUGUUUCAACGUCGCAUUUUGCACGUUUCGAAUUUAAAUCGCUUUGGCGUGGUUUCGAAAACUUCAUGUAAUGUGUUUCGGAGAAAGAUAAAUCUUUGGAUAUAUUUCUCAUUUUCAACAACUUAGGCUUAAACAUUCUUAAGACGUUCUUAAUCAUAGGCACUUUUGCAGUUUAACGAUCUUCGGUGUAUUCUUAGUAAAUUCUUUAAAUUUUGCUUAUUCUAACCUUAGAUAAAAUAUGCUUUAAUAUCUCAAGCUAAACGUUCUUCCAGGCAACGCCCAAGCCCAAUUGAAUUCAAAUACAUACAAAAUUCUACGUUUGAAACGGAAUACACUGGAAUCAAAUGCGACUUGCAUAUAUUCGACACAAGCAAAGUGGGACGUUGAAACCAGGCUUUACUUUUGUAAAUUUUACUUUAAAUGAUCUACAUUAAUUACGAGCUACAUUUCCUCUUCUAUUCGCACUAAGUUAAAAUUCGUUUCUUAUAUUUAUUCAAUUAUUGGAUUUUAAUGGGAAGACAACUGCACCCAAAGUCACCACAUGCUUAAACCACAAAUCAAGACUUCAUAUAUAGUACAAGAUCCUUACGCGUUUAGCCUCAAUUUUGUCAAUCGAUAACGUUCAGUAAUUUAGACUAAAAAAGUUUUUUUCAUUUAUAACAAUAUUCUUUCAAUUUUUUUAGUUUUUUAAAUUGACUGAAUGUUACCAGCAUGCAUAGUCGAAACUCCGUCAACCAGCAAAAUUUGAACCAGUUUAAAGUUGAUGCAAGACAUAAGAAACGAUGAAACUUUGGUAGUCAAAUGUGACCGACAACUCUCAAUAACUCUCUUAAUUAAACAGCAUAACCGGAAGAAAUGGUUGGCCUUAAAUUUGAUUAUACUUCGAUGUUUGUGCUUCUACACGUCUGUUUAUUUUGAACUUAAAAAUAAAGCUUUUGCAAGAAGGUUUUCAUAUUACAAUUUCUUUCGGGUCCGGGGAUUAAAUCAACCAGCUUGCAAAUAAUCCUGAUACAGUGAAGAACAACUUGAAAUUCUGCGUCAUUACGGCAUGAAUGAGGAAGUUCGUAUUUGAAGGAAAGUUGAAGGAAACUUCGGAAUAUUGAAAGAAAUUGCCUUAUUUCAAAAAAAUCCUAAGAAUACGGCAAUUUCCAAGGAAAUGCGCUUCAAAAUAUGCUGAAAAUCCUGUGUGCGAGAUGCAAAAUCUGAAAGGGGAGGACCCUAGGUAAAUUCUUUGUCUGCGCUUUAGGAACAGGAGUAACUUGAACAGACAUGUUAAAAACCUGCACAGUGCCAGUGGAAACAAGCCUUAUGAAUGUGAAACAUGCAUGCGAAAAUAUUGGACGAAGAGCAGUUUACAGACACAUACAAGAACAAUCCUUCCUUUGACACACCCUGUAUAUAAUUAUUACCUUGGCAGGGAACUUUUAUCCAAGGUGGCGUUGGCCCUUUUUUCUCAAGGUCGUUCUAAUGAGUACAAUUUAUCAAAUUUUAUGCCUUAAUUGAGACAAUGUAUACUUUUAUGUUUUAAACAAAGAAAACAACCAAUUGUGGCUAGAAUUUUACAAGACGCGAUGAAGAAGGCAAAGAAGAUGAUUUUAUUAAUCAUUAUUGUUAGGUUUUGAGAUGAUAAUGAUUAUUAUUAGGUUUUAUGUGUAUCUUCCUCAUCCAAGGGUACAUAACCACCACAUGAGAUGCGUGUAGAAAAGCUAAAUUUGGUUCUAGCAACGCACAACGAUGACAGUCUGCUUGUACCGGUUGAUACAACAACGGAUGCGCAGACUGUUCCAGCUAGAAUUUUUCAAGACGCGAUGAAGAAGGCAACAGAAAAAACUAUAGCAGGAUAAUUUUAUGAUAUAUACUCCUUAGGGUAGUUUGAGCACUCUCAUGGCCCCAUGAUACUAUGCGCAUGUCUGGAUGCGUUGGCGACCCGUGGUGUUGCACCACAAGUGCUUGGUGAGAGUUUCUGUUUGAUGUGUAUUUUAUAACUUUUUUAUACGCUGCCUGGAACUGGGAACGCAUAUGUUCGGGCAGCAGGAUUUUUAGACAAGGUUGCUCUAAUUUUGGCCUCAACAAGAUAGAUAAGCAGAGCCAGUCGAUUCGGGACAAACAGGCUCUGGACGAGAGCAAUCGAAGCAAAUGGUCGUUGUCGCUUAAGACUCUAUGGCUGGGAGUUGUCAAGUGCUGAUCAGAGCGUUUCAGAUAAAUCAUUCUCUGAAAUUGACCCUCAAGGGUUUAAUGUUACUCCGUUAUUGAUGGUCUUAAACAUUUUUCCGCAGGUCAUCUCAUUGGCGAAUGUCGAUUCAAACGAGAUGCUGGACGCUGCCUGGACAUGGGAACGCCUAUGUUCAGGCAGCAGAAUUGCUCUAUUUUUGUUUAGUGGGCAUGGUGUGGGAGAAGGCUGGAAUAGCCUGCUUCUACCGGUUGAUGCAACCAGUGCGGCACAGGUUGUUCCAGCCAAAAUGUUCCAACGGGCCAUGCUGGCGGCUUCAAAGAAAAUCAUGAUCUUCAAUUGCUGCCGAGAAAAGUAAGCAAAAAAUCCGCAGGUGAUGUCAUUAUCCAAUCUCGACUCAAAUGAGAUGCUGGACGCUGCCUGGACAUGGGAACCGCCUACAGUAUGUCCAGGCAGCAGGAUUGCCCUGUUUAUAUACAGUGGGCAUGGUGUGGGAGGCUAGAACAGCCUGCUUCUACCGGUUGAUGCAACCAGUGCGGCAGAUACACUCAUUUUUUUGUAGUAUAGACUCUAUGAGUUUAUAACAGGUGGUUUACUAGUAACUAGUAGCAUUUUUAUUUGCCUCCAUCGUUCUUUCCGGCACCACAACUCACAUUGGCUCACAUAUUUCAGAUACACCAUCCAGGCUCUCUUUCGAUGUCCAUAAAGUUGACAUUUCUAUGGAUUUUAUAAUCAAUUUAUUCAUAAAUUUUUUAAAGGCUAGUUUGUAUAUAAUAGACGUAUAUAUUGAAAUAAGCAAUAUUCCACUGAUGAAGCCUUCAGACCGGCGAAACGUCGGUAAAAUGAAACCUUUUAACAUCUUUUUAUUUUAAUUUUAUGCAUGAAGAAAUUUUUUAACCUUUUCAAAUAUCCACCGGGCAUGUUACCUACAACCCCUCCUUAGGGUUGUUUGAGCAAUCUGGCCCCAUGAUACUCUGCUCAUGUCUGGAUGAGUUGGUGGCCCGUGUUGGUGAGAGUUUCUGUUUGAUGUAUAUUUUAUAACUUUUUUAUGCACCCUGUAUAGAUGUGAAAGAAAAUAGCCCACAAACAAUAUGCCGGUACUCCACAAUGACUGAGCCAGUGUUUUUGUAAACUGGUGAUGAGGAUGAUUUUUUACAUGUCGGUCUGUAACAAACCUUACAGACCGACAUGUAAAAAAUCAUCCUCAUCACCAGUUUACCUUAAGGUCCUGUUCACACGAUCCCGGGAUAAACAACCGGUGGAUGCAACAUCGGCUGCGCAGGCUGUUAGAGCCCCAUGAUACUCUGCUCAUGUCUGGAUGAGUUGGUGGCCCGUGUUGGUGAGAGUUUCUGUUUGAUGUAUAUUUUAUAACUUUUUUAUGCACCCUGUAUAGAUGUGAAAGAAAAUAGCCCACAAACAAUAUGCCGGUACUCCACAAUGACUGAGCCAGUGUUUUUGUAAAACUGUAAAACGACUGGUAUCUCACUCGUUUGAAUAAUGAAAAAAGAGGACUGGAACAGCCUGCUCGCACCAGUAGAUGCAACAAGGCG
rnacentral:lncRNA from 1 species